CCUACGGGAGGCAGCAGUGAGGAAUAUUGGUCAAUGGGCGCGAGCCUGAACCAGCCAAGUAGCGUGAAGGAUGACUGCCCUACGGGUUGUAAACUUCUUUUAUAAAGGAAUAAAGUGAGGCACGUGUGCCGUUUUGUAUGUACUUUAUGAAUAAGGAUCGGCUCACUCCGUGCCAGCAGCCGCGGGAAUGCGGAGGGUCCGAACGUUAUCCGGAUUUCGUGGGUUUAAAGGGAGCGUAGAUGGGUUGUUAAGUCAGUUGUGAAAGUGUGCGGCUCAACCGUAAAAUUGCAAUUGAUACUGGCAGUCUUGAGUACAGUUGAGGUAGGUGGAAUUCGUGGUGUAGCGGUGAAAUGCUUAGAUAUCACGAAGAACUCCGAUUGCGAAGGCAGCUUACUAGACUGCCACUGACAUUGAGGCUCGAAAGUGUGGGUAUCAAACAGGAUUAGAUACCCCAGUAGUC
rnacentral:rRNA from 1 species